rnacentral:rRNA from 1 species
AUACGGAGGAUCCGAGCGUUAUCCGGAUUUAUUGGGUUUAAAGGGUGCGCAGGCGGCCAUUUAAGUCAGCGGUUAAAUCGUGGGGCUCAACCCCAUUCUGCCGUUGAUACUGGGUGGCUUGAUUGCGGUCGAGGUUGGCGGAAUUCGUUGUGUAGCGGUGAAAUGCAUAGAUAUGACGAAGAACACCGAUUGCGUAGGCAGCUGACCAGACCGCAAAUGACGCUCAUGCACGAAAGUGCGGGGAUCGAACAGGAUUAGAUGCCCUGGUAGUCCGCACAGUAAACGAUGAAUACUUGUUUUCGGCGAUAUAAUGUCGGAGGCAAAGCGAAAGCGAUAAGUAUUCCACCUGGGGAGUACGCCGGCAACGGUGAAACUCAAAGGAAUUGGCGGGG